AAGCCUGAUCCAGCAAUGCCGCGUGUGUGACGAAGGCCUUNGGGUUGUAAANCACUUUCGCCCGCGAGGAUGAUGACGGUAGCGGGAGAAGAAGCCCCGGCUAACUCCGUGCCAGCAGCCGCGGUAAUACGGAGGGGGCGAGCGUUGUUCGGAAUUACUGGGCGUAAAGGGCGUGUAGGCGGCCUUGUCAGUCAGGCGUGAAAUCCCCGGGCUCAACCUGGGACGUGCGCUUGAUACUGCAGGGCUUGAGAGCGAGAGAGGUAAGCGGAAUUCCCAGUGUAGAGGUGAAAUUCGUAGAUAUUGGGAAGAACACCGGUGGCGAAAGCGGCUUACUGGCUCGUUUCUGACGCUGANGCGCGAAAGCGUGGGGAGCGAACAGGAUUAGAUACCCUGGUAGUCCACGCCGUAAACGAUGUGUGCCANACGUCGGGGGUUAGGCCUUCGGUGUCGCAGCUAACGCAUUAAGCACACCGCCUGGGGAGUACGGCCGCAAGGUUAAAACUCAAAUGAAUUGACGG
rnacentral:rRNA from 1 species